AACUAAUUUGGGGUGGAAAAUCUAUUAUUUAGAUAGUCUCUCCUUAAGAGUAGCUCUAAGUUUCUUUCUGGUAAAUCACUAACUUCACUGAUUUGUUUAGUUUCCUCAUCUAUAAAAUUGAGAUCAUAAAGUGAGGAUUAUAUUAGAAAAUGUCUAAUAAGUGUCUAGAACACAGUCUCAAAUAUGAUUGAUACCCAGUGAAUGUUAGUUUUGUUGCCCAUAGCUAGUAUCUUCUCUUGAAGAUCAUGAAAGUGCUUUAAAAUGAACCUCAUAGGGUGAAAAUGUCUGCUUAUCUCAAUUUUUUAUUAAGUUUUGAUUGAGAUUUUGAAUUUCAUCUAGGAAAUGCAGUCCCUCUGAGCAUAAAAGCAGAGGAAAACUCUUUAGAUUUGACUACAUAAAAUUUUUAAAUGUUUGCAUGUCAAAUUGUCAAAAAGCAAAAUGAGAAAGUAUCGACAUGGAGAAAAUAUUCGUAUGUGGACAGAACAAAAGGUUAAUAUUCUUACUACGUUAAAGGGCUCUUAUGAAUCUUAAGAAGAAUAUUAAACAUUUCAAUAGAAUAAUGAACAGAGGACCUGAAUAGGUGGUUCACAAAAGAAAUAUAAAUGGCUAAUAGGCAUAUGAAACUGGUAUUUAACCUAGGAUAAUCAAAGAAGCUCAAAUUAAAUGUAUUUUUUAUCUAUCAAAGUGGCAACAAUUUGAGAAAGAUACUUAGUACUCUGCUGGUAGGAGUAUCAGAGUUUGAACAGCUGCAAUGAAAAGCAUUUUUGCCUUCUUAAGCAUGUCAAGAAGCUUAAGAUUUGUCCUUUAACUCAGCCCUGGGAGAUUUUCCUAAGACAAUAAUGAGAUAGAGAUUUAGAAUGGGGAGUAAUUUAUGUCAGUGUUAUCUGCAGUGGGGAAAAGUUGGAGAUGUUUUGGUAAAAUAAAUGUUGGCACAUACACAGUAUGGAAUACUAUGCAGCUAUUAAAAAUUACACUUUUGAAGAACAUGCAAAAGUAUUUCCAGUGUUAAGUGGGAAAAGAAUUCCAAAGUGGUAAAACUAUACACAAUGUGAUCCCAGUUAUUUUUAUUUUAUAUGUGAGUGGGUGCGUGUAUGCAAAGAAUGGAAGAAGAUAUUCCAAACAUUAUCAGUGGUUAUGCUCAGGUAGUGGGAUUAUAGGGGAUCAUUUCCUGUAUUUUCCAAAUUCCCUCUGAGCAGAAGAACACAAUGUUAUGUUUAAAACUCAUUCCCUUUUACUUUUAUUUUUGUGCUUUUAGUCAUUUAACAUGAUUCUUUUAAAGCCUUAUGGUGUCAACUAAUGUACAACCAGUAAUAUUAAAUGCCAGGUACUUUGACAGGGAAGGCAGAUAAUCCACACUGUAAAACCACUUACCCUGUGGCUCUGGAUGUGUUAGGUUCAUAAAUUUUUAGUAUGGGUGGAUUUGUCAGUCAAGUGCCGUAAAUAUAACAUGACCAUACCCCCUAAAUGUAAAAUGCAAAACUGCAAAACUCCUGGGAGAUAACAUAGGAGAAAACCUAGAUGACCUUGUAUAUGGUGGUGACUUUUUAGAUUCAACAUCAAAAGCACGAUUCAUGAAACAAGUAAUUGAUAAACUAGAUUACAUUGAAAUUAAAAACUUUUGCUCUGCAAAAGAUAACGUGAAGAGAAUGAGAAGACACGCCACAGACUGGGAGAAGAUAGUUGCAAAAGACAAAUUUGAUGAGGGAUUAUUAUCUAAAAUAUACAAAAACUCUUAAAAUUCAGCAAUAAGAAAAUUUAAUAAUCCAAUUAAAAAAUGGGCAAAAGACCUCACCAGACCAAGGAAGGUAGUCAGUUGGCAAGUAAGCAUAUGAAAAGAUGUUCGACAUCUUAUGUCAUUAGGGAAAUGCAAAUUAAAGCAAGGAGAUAUGCCACUACACACCUGUCAGAACAGCCGAAUUCCAGAACACCGACAACACCACAUGCUGGUGAGGAUGUGCUGCGGCAGGAACUCUUAGAUUGUGAGUGGGAAUGCAAAAUGGUGCAGUCACUUUGAAAGGCAGUUUGUCAGUUUCUUAUAAAAGUAAACGUACUCUUCCCAUACUCUCCAGCAGUCGUUCUCCUAGGUAUCUACCCAAAGGAGUUGAAAACUUAUGUCUAAACAAAAACCUGUACAUGAUAUUUAUAGCAGCUUUAUUCAUAAUUGCCAAAACUUGGAAGCAACAAAGAUGUACUUCAGUAGCAAACCCGAGACAGAACACCAAGAUCUGUGCAGAAGUUUCCAGGGAGUCUUUUACGCCUCUCUGGUCGCAUAAUCAAACCACGCUGUCUAACUGCUCAUGCAGGUUGAAAUCCAUCAGUAAAUAAUUUGGCCCUGGGAAUGCCAGAGGCUCCUCAGAGGUAAGGGUGGAGCUUUCUCAGUCUAGCUGUAAAUUAACUUGAUCCUAUACACUUUCUAAAAUACAACAUAACUUUUUAUUUUGUUUCUUAUUUUGUAACACACACACACACACACGCACACACUGAUUGUAAGCUCCAUGGAGGGCAGAGUUCUUGACCAUUUUGUUCAUUAUUGUAUUCUCAGUUCCUGCAAUAGCACCUGGCACAUAGCUUGG